UAGUUUAAUUAAUGAUAUAAUUUUUGUUUACAUUUAUUCUCCUUUGACAAGAUUUAAGAUAUUUCAAAUAAAACAAGAGUCAAAGUGGUCAAGAAGUAACAGUUAGUGAAAUUUUAAAAAUUAUCCUAUCCAUUUAUUUUUAUUAUUGUUUAAGUUUUUGGGUGUUCCUAGAUAAAAUUUUAAUUUGCCAUCAAUAUUUAAUUCAAAGUUCACCUUGUUAUUCAAUUUUCGUGCAAUUUAAUUCGUGUUGAAAUUUAAUUAUGAGAAAAAGAGUCUUUCAAUUCCUCACUUAAUAAUUUUUUUUUCUAGUCCCCUUUUGAUGGAGCUGAGAAAUUUCACAAAGGUUUUCAUAAAUUAUGCUUGGCUGAAGAUGGUUAAAGUUAUUUGGACCAGUUUCGACUUGAUCUGUGAAGUAGGCACUGAGCUUUCAUCCUUCACCUUGAAAGAUGCCGGAAGUGUUGCCCAUUUAAAGUUACCCAAUGGGCACCUGUAAAAUUCACGGAGGAGAGCAACAUUACCCAUGCUACACUGUCACAGAUACCUGUUUAUAGGUUGGGCCACAUUCACACAACAGAGAAUAGCCCACUCAGAGAAACAUCCAUGCACUAAGUUGGAUACGAACCCGCAACCAUUGGUUUCGCAGUCAGGCAUGCCGACCACUCGGCCACCUGGUCAGCAUUUAUUAAGUAACAAAUUUAAUCUAUGAAUGUUUUAGUAUAUGAAGUAUUUUCAACCAACAAGUUUUGUAAUUACAGUAUUUAUUGAAGAGAAAAAUCAAAUAUUAAUAAUAAUAUCUAUCAAUAAGAUCCAAUGCAUUCCAUUCCCCGAUCUAAUUAUGCAAUCCAUUCCCUUUUUUUUAACAUUUUGCAGUCAAUAGAAACCCUAACAAGGAAAGAACAAUGAAAUAAAAAUGUCAGAAAGCUGAUCAAAACUACUUAAUAAUUCAUAGCUAAUAGAUAUUUGUUUUAUAAUCAAUUCAAGUAUUCUUAAUGAAAAGUGUCAUUGCAAGUAGAAAUUCAUCAAAAAAAUAUUAAAAUUUUAAAACAUAAUAGAAAUACCCUUGAGAUGGCAAAAAUUUAAUGAAUGGUGGCUAAUGGUAGUUUUUAAACAAUUUAUUUAAGUUUUAAUAUUGUUAGUAACACUGUAACAAUGAGGGCCAAAAUCAAUUGGACUGUUCAGAUUUGCAUAACAA